rnacentral:rRNA from 1 species
GACGAACGCUGGCGGCGUGCUUAACACAUGCAAGUCGAGCGGUAAGGCCCUUUCGGGGUACGACGAGCGGCGAACGGGUGAGUAACACGUGGGUGACCUGCCCUCAGCUCUGGGAGUAAGCCUGGGAAACCGGGUACUAAUACUGGAUAUGACUCCAUGACGCAUGUUGUGGGGUGGAAAGCCUUGUGCGGCUGAGGAUGGGCCCGCGGCCUAUCAGCUUGUUGGUGGGGUGANGGCCUACCAAGGCGACGACGGGUAGCCGGCCUGAGAGGGCGACCGGCCACACUGGGACUGAGACACGGCCCAGACUCCUACGGGA